rnacentral:lncRNA from 1 species
GGUGAAGUCAGUGAGAGGCUUUACUACUUGUAGGUCAAUUUCUUUUCUUAUUCUCAAAAUUUUAAAUCAAAUUUUUAAAUUAUUAGAUUCUUAAAAUGAUAUAAUUAUGGGGAUAACUUAUUCAUAGCCUCCCAUUAAGGUACAUGAUAAUGAGUCCAAUAUUCUAAAUAGGUAUUAGAGGUGCCACACGUCUGGUGUCUAUUAGG